GACGUAGGGGGCCAGCGUUGUUCGGAAUUACUGGGUGUAAAGGGUUCGUAGGCGGUGUGGCAAGUCGGGAGUGAAAUCUCUGGGCUCAACCCAGAGUCUGCUUCCGAAACUGCUGUGCUUGAGUGUGGGAGAGGCGCGUGGAAUUGCAGGUGUAGCGGUGAAAUGCGUAGAUAUCUGCAGGAACACCCGUGGCGAAAGCGGCGCCGCUGGACCACUACUGACGCUGAGGAACGAAAGCUAGGGGAGCAAACAGG
rnacentral:rRNA from 1 species